rnacentral:rRNA from 1 species
UACGUAGGGUGCAAGCGUUAAUCGGAAUUACUGGGCGUAAAGCGUGCGCAGGCGGUUGUGCAAGACCGAUGUGAAAUCCCCGGGCUCAACCUGGGAAUGGCAUUGGUGACUGCACGGCUAGAGUGUGUCAGAGGGGGGUAGAAUUCCACGUGUAGCAGUGAAAUGCGUAGAGCUGUGGAGGAAUACCGAUGGCGAAGGCAGCCCCCUGGGAUAACACUGACGCUCAUGCACGAAAGCGUGGGGAGCAAACAGG